rnacentral:lncRNA from 1 species
CCCAAUGUCUUUGGGCCAUGCCUUGGGUUUAUAUGGAUCAUGGACGGAUUAUCAGUAUGCCUAUGACCGAAACGAAUGUUAACAACAAUUAUGACCUAACCGAAUAACCUCACCCCUUGUUAUUAUUGAUCUUGUUAAUUUCUUGUGCAGAGUAUACAGAUUGAGAAUUGUGACACCUCAGUUUGUCGUUGGAGAACAAAGUGGUUCCUCACUCCCUGUGGGAUUCGACCCUACACUUACCACUAAGACUGAGAUCUUGUUGUGAGACGUAAGAGCGUGUAUUGUCUGUACUAGGCAUACACAAGUAUUUUGUCCGCACCGCACGACGGGUGUGUGUCAGCAUACCUGACAAGUAAGCGGUGCAGAUCUAAGGCAUCACAGGCUGAGAAAGAAACUGGCCCAAACUCUAAGCACACCUGACUCGGAAGAGCAGAGUCGUGUCACACAACGAUCAAAGCAAAGUAGCAGCACCGUGAUCACUAUUUUUAUAGCAACAAUAACUGCAACUAAACAGUGUAAUUGUAGUACUAAAACAGUAAGCAGAAUAUCGUAUCCACAGAGACUGUAAAACGAAAUCACUCUAUCUACUUCCUAAACAGACUCUCACAGUAUGCAAGUGAAACGAAAUUGAAGGUGAAAUAUGAACUAAGAUUAACUAAAUUAAAACUAAAGAGCAUAUAAAUAACGAUUACUUAACUCAAAUAUAAGGAAAACUCUGACCCUAGGGAUGUACUUUCACUAAUCAACUACAUGCAUUUAACCUAUUGAUUCAAUUACCAAUUUUAAUCCAACCCGGAUGAAAGAUCACUAUAUUAUUCACAAGCGUCUCUAACGACCACCUAUGAACGUAGAUUAAUAAAUCCCUUUUCGCAUUCAAGACUCCAAGGAAUAAAUUAACUCCAAAUAGCACAUAAAGAAUAGCUUCCUAUAGCUUCACCUAUCGCAUUCAAGACUCAAGGCUAACACUAUAUCAUGCAUUCCUGAAUCGGCUGAACAAUUAUCGCAUUCAAGACUCAAACUGAACAGCUAGACAUGUAAAUCAUUGAUCAGAUAAUUCACAAGAGACAGGCACCAGGAAUCAUGAAUCACAAGUUGGAAGGCAAAUUGAUAUCAAUAAAUCAAAAACACAUAAUCAAUCAGCUAUGUACAAACCCUAGGUUCAGAUUAAAAGACUAGCCAGACAUAAUAAAAUCAAACAUAAACAUAAUUAAAUUGAACGCAAUUGUAAAAACAAAUUGUAUAAAAACCGAAUUAAAACGAUUGUAGCGGCUUGAAUCUUCAAUCUUGAUCCAAGCCUUGAAAACUGGAAAGCUAAAAUGUUCUAAAGCUAUAAAACUGAAAUAUGAAUGUUGGGAACUGAAAAACUAAAGCUGGGAACCCUAGAUAGGUCGAAAGAGGACCUAUUUAUAGUCUUAGGGUGAAAAACCAAGUUACUAAAACCAAAAAUAACUUAGAAAAAUACGUAAAAACGCGGAAGGAAAUAAAACACGCGAUCAAGUUCGGCGACCCGUUCGGCGGUCGCCGAAUUGAUCGACCGAAAUCUGGACCUAUUUAACACACGAAAACGGCGACCGCCGUUUUUCUCUCCGAAGGCCAAAAUCCAUCCAGGGAAAUCGGCGACCUGGCCGGCGAUCGCCGUCUUGGUCGCCGUUUUCACCCUUUAAAUCACCAAAAUUCGGCGGUCAACGCCCUUUGACCGCCGAGUUGCUCCUUUUCCAUCCCGAGUCCAGAAUCUUCGUCUUUUCUCGAUUUUUAGGCUCGAUUCUCUCAAAACUCUUCUCUUCAACAUGUUCCUUACACUUCAUGCUCCAAUAUCACUCAAUUCUGCAUCCAAACAGUCAAAACUACACCCAACCGUGAAAUCUCGAAAUAAUAGUAAAUGAACUUCAAACAAUAAUGAAACGGCUGUAAAAUCGACUUAAACUACAAAAUAUAAACCAUAAAAACCAUGCAAAAUGAGUGUUUAUCACACCGAUACAAGUCGGCGCAGACUAGACUAGAGGAAACCUGAUUCCAAGCACAACUACGAAAAUUCAAAGCUCUCUUUUCGUAGACUAGGGGGGAGUAGCUGAUGAGGAGUGAGGAUCCCAUCAGUCAUCCUAUCCUAAGCAAAGACAGCGGCGUCGACUUAGGGCCUUGAACAUACGCGACUUAAGAAGCAUGGAUACAUCACACGAUCGUCGAAAUAAUAUAGCGGCGCCGGCUAAUGUCGGCGCAGAUUAAGAAAGAAGCUGGUUUAAACUCCAGGCCCACUUGGCUCGAAAGAAGCAAGGUCAUAUCAUACAAAAUAAAGAUAGCGGCGCUGACGAAUGUCUGCGCAGACUAGAGAAGACAGCGCAGCAUUAAAGCAACAUCCGGAGAAGACCCAGGGAAAGAAAUAAGCUCGGAAAAUUCAGCGCAGAAAAGGAAUGGAAAUAACCAACAGUGAAAGCUUGGAAAGAGCACGUGUUCAACGAAAAGCUGCAAAGUAGUUAGAGAGUUUGUUAGAGGAAAGAGAAUCGUUCACGUACGCCGCAUGUGGAGUACGUAAACGACGUGUAAAGACCCUUAUACCCUUCGCCCUAAUGUAAUCCUAUAAAUAUACCUUGUAACUCAUUAUAUAGAACACGCAAUUUUACUCUAAGAAUUCUCAUCUGCAAGUUUUCAAGCAAGCUCCCUUUCAUACUGCGAUACAGGUUACUCCGACCUCCUUUUCUGGCUUGUUUAGAUAGGUUUGAAUGUUAGGCUUCACCAGCUAUCACCCAAGAUACAGAGUACUCAAGUUACUAUAUAACUCUCACUCAUAGUAAAUCAAAGUGAUACACGAAUUAACAUAUAUAUUCGAAAUCUUAUUAGUAUUAAGAUUUUAUUAAGUCACCGAGAUCUUGAUUCUUCACUUAAGUCAGAUAGAAUAAUACAUCUCACUGUGGUCCUAUCAAUACGUUAUGAUGUACCAGUAUAGACAAGUAGUCAAGACAAACUACUUCCAUCUAUACCGUAGCCGAAACCGAUGACUCGUCCUAAAGUCAUCUCGGCUGUGAUCAUAUUAUAUCUCUUAAGGUUAAUCCAAUUAUAUGGUCUUCUGUGAUCUACAACAUACUAUAUAGUCUACUUGUAUAGAGAUAGAGAACAUACAUAUGCAAUCAUGAACACAAUCAGAUAGGAGAUUGGAUAGUGAACUUAGGAAACAUUGUAUACAAGCAUAAAACGUUCUUGCUUUCAGUAUACAAAUCCAACACUCACGUGCUUCUAUAACUAAGAUCAUGUAUGAGAAACUUUAGUUCUGCGAGGUACCUGAAUCAUCACUAUUUAGUGGGUUUCCCAUGUUGUAAUAUAGCAUGUAUCACACUUGUUCAAGUGUUUUCCCAAAAUAUGCUUAUCAUGUGCUACAAAAAUUCUUAAGCACAAAUAUUAGUAACAUAGGAGAGCCCUUAAAGGCAGGGCCGUAAAUCAUAAAUCAUGUGGGUAAUGAACCCACAAUAGUUAAAGGUCCACUUACAUGCAGCAUGCGGUUCAACUAUCAAAGCAAUUAAUGAGCAGUUCCAUAUCAUUUAUUAAUAUAUGCAUUUGAUCAUGUUCACAUGUCUUGAAAAGAAAUAAAUAAUGCUAAAUUUCGACAAGCAAUAAUCAUUACCCUUAUUUAUUGAGGUUGCACUUAUAGAGCACUUAGUUCGUCUUCUGCUUUAUCGAGAAGUAUGAGCAAUUGUAAAUCAACAUAAUCAUCUUCUGCUUUAUCGAGAAUCCAAUCUAAUUAACUUCUACUUCGCAAAUUCCUCCCAACGAAACCCAAGAAUCCCAAAUCCCUCCAGUAAUUCACCACAACUAAACCAAAUUCUAUAAACAAGCAUGCAUGUUUGGCACAAUGCCCCCUAGUUUCAGAGUCAAGAAAGGCCAGCCAUACCUGGUAAUAAUAGAUGUGGACUCAUCCCGUUGAGGAUCACGUUUGGUAGCUGAUCAAGCGCUGCCGACAAAGGCAGCAGCUACACGCUAGUGAGUGGUGAGACACAGAUUUGUUCUUUAUCAUUUCCGCUGUCGUAAAUAAUGUCAUCUUCUGAUUUUGAUCUUCGGAGACUAUUUCACCGAUUCUGGUAAUGGCGCCGAUAACAUUGCCUGGUUAGGAUUCCAAUGUUGUUACCUUUCCAUCCAAAAAAAGAAAAAGAAAAUCAGAGCCUCAAAUUGGUAGAGAAAAUCACAAAAAUGAAUUUGAAUUUGAGGAAUUGAAAACAGGGGCAGAGCGGCGGCCGAGUUGGUGGAUUUCUCCCUUUCCGAAUGAGUAAUAUACGAUAGAUAUGCGCCGCUUUUCAGAAGAGGGCGGAGAUUCUUUUGGAGAGCAGUGGUGGAAACUGAUUUCCGGCGGAGAAUAUAGAGAGACGAGCGAGGGGCUUCGCAGAGCAGGAUCUGUAGAUUUUGGGAUUUUCACUGGUUUCUAUGGAGAUAGUGGUCGGGCGUUUCUUGUAUGAGAAUAGAGAAAGAACUUCUGAAAAUUUUCUUGUAUGAGCGAAUUGAGAGAACUUCAUCGAUUUUUGGGGGAAAUCGCUGGAAAUUGAAGAGAAAGAAAGAGAACAGGGAUGGAAGUCGUUGCACGGCGAUUGAACAGGAUGAUAAACUUGGACCUUCAGAGAUUUUUUUUUCAGUCGAACUAUGAGAGAUGAGGGUGGGCGUGAGG